rnacentral:rRNA from 1 species
AUUGAACGCUGGCGGCAUGCCUUACACAUGCAAGUCGAACGGCAGCACGGGAGCAAUCCUGGUGGCGAGUGGCGAACGGGUGAGUAAUGUAUCGGAACGUACCUUUCAGUGGGGGAUAACGUAGCGAAAGUUACGCUAAUACCGCAUAUUCUGUGAGCAGGAAAGCAGGGGAUCGCAAGACCUUGCGCUGAUUGAGCGGCCGAUAUCAGAUUAGCUAGUUGGUGAGGUAAAGGCUCACCAAGGCGACGAUCUGUAGCGGGUCUGAGAGGAUGAUCCACCACACUGGAACUGAGACACGGUCCAGACUCCUACGGGAGGCAGCAGUGGGGAAUUUUGGACAAUGGGCGCAAGCCUGAUCCAGCCAUGCCGCGUGAGUGAAGAAGGCC